GUCAACGAUCUUUAUAAAGUUGUUUGAAGCGUCUAUGAUAAACAGAGAGCAAAUUAGAAUCCAAGGAAGUUGACAUGUCAUCACUUCAUUUUUUUGCGCCUGCGCAUAAAUCUGAGAAACGUGAGUUUGUCAUCAUUUUUUAUCUAGACAUAGGAUAGGUUGUGUGAAAAUAUUACUGAUGUUUAACGUUAAAAGUGGACCAAAAGAUUAAUGCUAAACAACAUUUGACAUGUUUGAACGAACAUAAAUAUAUUAUUUACUAGUUUUUUUUAGCUUUUCGGCGUGAUUUUACCAGCCCCCACCACGUUUUGUGGGAGCAUAAUGAACGCUAAGUACUUGGUGUUAUUUGGACAUAAAUUAUGAACUUUGUCAAAAGAAACCACAUUUGUUCCGGACCUGGAAUGCCUUCCGGACCUGGGAUCCUGCCUUCUGAUGGAGAUAAUCAAAGGUAGCUCAAUGUCCAGUCUGCCAGGGGAAAAUAACUGUUUUGAAACAGACAUCAGAUUACACAGAUUACGGAGCAACAACCUCUCCUUCAACGUAAUGGAACCAUGGGAGUUGGUUGGGAUGGACCUAACCAGGGCAUCUGAGGGGUACCAGUACAUAUGUGUAAUGAUGGAUUACAUUUCAAAAUGGACAGAGGCUUUCCCCUUAAAGACAAAACGUGCAGAGGAGGUCACAGACUGCAUUGUGAAAUUGUUCUACAGGUUUGGCGUCCCCAAAAUAAUUGUAACUGAUCAAGGGAAGUAAUUUGUGAACAAGGACCCUUAACAAACAGGUGAACCUGAAAGCAGAACAAUGGAACAAAUUCCUGGAUGCUACCAUUUUUGAAAUCAGAACAAAGAAAAAAUUAUGACAAAGUUCUUCCCAUACUUUUUGAUGUUUGGCCAAAAUGCUCUAUAUCCUUCUAAGAUGCCAGUACAUUAUGAAGCAGAUGCAAGUGUUGAGGAUGUCCUGGCAAAUGAGAUCCUGGCAGAGGGUCUGAAAAGGCACUAAGACAUUUGCAGAGAACACAGGAAGAAGAAUGAUAAUUUAAUUACCAUAGUGAAUUAUUGUAAUGUUUGUUUAUGUGUCAAUUAAUCCCAUAAGGGAUGGGAUGCCAAUUGGCGAUUUGACAAAAGAAAAAAAUCAUAAUACAGAAUAGUACUAAUAGAAUGUGGAGAAGGAGCAAGAGAAGGUGAGGAAGAGGAAGUUGACACAGGGAAAUUAAGUGACCUUUGCCAUUGGAGACCAGGUCCUGAGAAGGAACAUCCGGAGCCAGCAAAGGAAGUGUGGCAUAUUGGACCAUGACCAGUUGGGCCCAUAUAUUAUUGCCAGAAUUGAUGGGAAGAAUGCAGACCUGCUUUCUAAGGAACGGAUGUUGACCCCAACGAUAACACUAACCACCUGGUCAUGUUCAAAGAGGAAAAGGAAAGAAUCCCACACAAAUCCUGUCGACUUACUACCCCAUCUGCUGCCUCUUCUGCUGGUCACACUGCUGCGUCUUCUGCUGGUCACACUGCAGGUCCCUCUGUUUUAUCUACAGUGUAUUUUGUUCCCCUUCAUUGUUCUUUUGUUGUCCUUCCUGAUUAAUUUACUUCAACCAUCUCAUACUUUAUCCUUCCUUCACCAAUCUUGUCCCCUUUUGCCAACCUCCAAAAGCAGUUCCCCACCAUAACCGACCUCAGCCUGCCACCAUCACUAGACCUCAGCUUCUGCCUUCCACCAUCACUAGACCUCAGCUUCUGCCUUCCACCAUCACCAGACCUCAACCUCUGCCUGCCACCAUUACCAAACCUCAGCUUCUGCCUCCCAUCAUCACCAGACCUCAACCUCAGCUUCAGCCUCCCACCAUCACAAGACCCCAGCUUCAGCCUCCCACCAUCACCAGACCCCAGCUUCUGCCUGCCACCAUCACCAGACCCAAGCUUCAGCCUCCCACCAUCACCAGACCUCAUUCUCAGCUUCGGCCUCCCACCAUAACCUGACCUCAGCCUCUGCCUGACAUCAUUGUCUCUGCUCCCAUCAUCCCCCAUCUCUUAUCCUGUUUCCCAUCCUGUGUUGCCAGCCUCCACCAUUAGUGCCUCAAGGAAUGCAUCUGGGAUGCAUCUGGCCUCAAGGCUACUGAUAUAGAGUCUCCAAGGCAUAGCGAUUGGUCUCUGCUAUGUCUCCCACCAGCUCCUCUGUCAGAAAGAACAGAUGGAAAUGGCAAGGGGCGUUGCACUCCAGACUGGGACUCAUCAAAGCAAACAGCAGGGCCAGGAGGGGUGAAGUGGCUGGCAGCCUUCCAGCUACCACAGAACUCCUGUACUUCAUCCACUAUCGCUCUGCC
rnacentral:lncRNA from 1 species